AGAACGAACGCUGGCGGCAGGCCUAACACAUGCAAGUCGAGCGCGCAGCAAUGCGAGCGGCAGACGGGUGAGUAACGCGUGGGAACCUUCCCAAUAGUACGGAAUAGCCCAGGGAAACUUGGAGUAAUACCGUAUACGCCCGCAAGGGGAAAGAUUUAUCGCUAUUGGAUGGGCCCGCGUAGGAUUAGCUAGUUGGUGAGGUAAGCGACCUAGCCAAGGCUCCGAGUCCUUAGGCCUGGUUAGAGGAGUAGUAGACCAGCCACACUGGGACUGAGACACGGCCCAGACUCCUACGGGAGGCAGCAGUGGGGAAUCUUGGACAAUGGGCGAAAGCCUGAUCCAGCCAUGCCGCGUGAGUGAAGAAGGCCUUAGGGUUGUAAAG
rnacentral:rRNA from 1 species